GUUUUGUUGCAGCUAACUGCUAUUUUUUAAUCCUCUGGCAGCUCUCCUCUGCUGCUCUGUGGAAGACAGAGGGAAGUAUCACAGUGCGGCAUCAUGACUGACUUAAAUACACAGUUCAGAGCAGCAGCUGCCACCGAGAAGCCACAGGAGACUUUUGCUGAUCGCUCGGAGCUGCCGGAAGACUGCUGAGCCAGGCAUUAAACCAACUGCUCUGGGCAUCUGCCCGGCAUCCAGCAGUCAGCGUCCUCCGGCAGCUGCCAGUGUGCAGGAGGUCCUUUAGUCACAUGGCCCGUGCUGAUAUGACUCACACACACACAGAAUUCCUUUCAACAAACCUUUGGGGGGUUUCUCUAAUGAAACACACCUGACCUGAAGGUAAACCAAGGCAAGACAAAUCACAUGGACUACAUCAGAUGUCACGGCAAAGGAUGUCCCGGAGCAAGGAGGCUGCUGGAGGGAUCUGAGCAAGGAGGCAUGAGAGCAUCUUUAGUGGACUGACACAACACUUUUCAAACAUUUGUUGGAGGGAAGGACGUCUCAUGUCUCUAACAAGGUGUUUCCUUGUUUCCUCUGUUCUUCUCUUGCAUCUUAUGUGGGUGGGACUAAGACACAGGAGGGAAAUGUGGAUGCAGUUAAGUGAAGUGGGAUUUACCCGGCGCUGUUUGUUGCGUCCAGCGCUGUCCUACUGUGGCUGUAAUGAUCACUAGCAGGCGUGAGAGUCAGUGAUCAGGGACAGUCUCUGUACUGAGGGACAAACUGACUUGGUGUGUCGCAGACAGAGGUGCACACAGGCCUUUGCAUCCACACAGGCCAUUCCUCUCCCCUCCCUCAUCCAUCCAAGUCA